UUAGACUGACAAAGGAUGAAAUAUAUAGAAUUUUAAAGAUAGACAAGAAUGGGACAGUGACCGUCAAUAGGGACUUUUUAAAUCACUCUGAGCAAAUCCACCAUGGAACAUUCACACUGGGUAAUGCCAUGAAGAAGCAUUCUGGAGAAUAUGUCUUGGAAGAAUACGGAGCUGAUGGAAAAAUAAUGAGAACAGUGCAAGUAAACCUAAAAAUACAAGCUCCGGCAUUGCUGCCUGGCAUAUCUAACACCAGUUUGACACCACAAAAUAAAUCAGUUAACUCCUCAGCGAUGGAGGGUGACAUGGAGUUUACUUUGUCAUUUGACAAAGACCUGUUAAUACAAACCAAAAUAGAGAGUUGGAAAAGCCUAAGUGUUUCAAAUGUUAUCAUCACCUUACAUGGUCAGCUGGGAAAAAAACUGGUGUGUGAUGUUAAGAACAAAGUCAGCACUGAACGGACCGUCAUACAACUUGCAAGGUGUAAAGGGACAUAUGGUUGGAUUGUGGCUGUGACAAGAUUGAUCUAUGUUCUUCUGCUUCUUUUGGCCCUGAUUCUUGGCCAUGUUGCUCUAACUAGAAAAAGGAGCCGUGCCACUCUUGGAGAAGG